CAAGGUUUCCGUAGGUGACCUGCGGGAGGAUCAUUG
rnacentral:rRNA from 1 species